rnacentral:rRNA from 1 species
UAGGGAAUCUUCCACAAUGGGCGAAAGCCUGAUGGAGCAACGCCGCGUGUGUGAUGAAGGGUUUCGGCUCGUAAAACACUGCUGUAAGAGAAGAAUGACAUUGAGAGUAACUGUUCAAUGUGUGACGGUAUCUUACCAGAAAGGAACGGCUAAAUACGUGCAG